rnacentral:rRNA from 1 species
UACGUAGGUGGCAAGCGUUGUCCGGAUUUACUGGGCGUAAAGAGCGCGCAGGCGGCCCGGCAAGUCGGGUGUGAAAUCCCGGGGCUCAACCCCGGGACUGCAUUCGAUACUGCCGGGCUAGAGGUAGGUAGGGGAGAUCGGAAUUCCUGGUGUAGCGGUGAAAUGACGCAGAUAUCAGGAGGAACACCGGUGGCGAAGGCGGAUCUCUGGGCCUUACCUGACGCUCAGGCGCGAAAGCUAGGGGAGCGAACAGG